GGGCGAUUAGCUCAGCGGUAGAGCGCCUGCCUUACAAGCAGGAUGUCGCUGGUUCGAGUCCGGCAUCGCCCA
rnacentral:tRNA from 3 species